rnacentral:rRNA from 1 species
AUGCCUGUUUCAGUUUGUAAUUCAUCCAGCAGAAAAAGAAUGAGAAUUGGUCGUGAGUCAACACAAGUCACCACAGAUAACACAAACCUCUGGAACAAGGACGGAUUUUCGAGCAGGUUACGAGAAUUAAUUAAUCAGUUGCAAGGCAUCCAAGGGGAUGUGAGAGGAGUUAUAAAUAUACCUGUGCUAGAUUCUGUUGCAGCUUCAAAUCACCGUUGGAGUACAACCUAUUUUGCAUGCCGAAGAACAUCGAGUCUUCAUCAAAGGAAAAUGUACGGGAGAUCUGCAGAGAAGAAAUUUAUUAUCAAGUUGAUAAGCGAACACAAAUCAACUGGUGGUGUCACUGUUCUGCCUAUUCUAGGCAUCGGAGGAAUUGGGAAGACAGCUCUCGCUCAACUUGUAUACAAUGAGCCAGCAGUGGAAAAUCAAUUUGACCACAAGAUAUGGAUUUGGGUGUCUAACAACUUUGAUGAAGUGAGGCUCACAAGGGAGAUGUUAGAUUUUGUGUCACAGGAAACACAUGGGGGGCUUUGCAACCUUGCCAAGCUUCAGGAGAUCUUGAAGUGUAAUAUCAAGUCAAAGAGGAUUCUACUUAUUUUAGAUGAUGUUUGGGAUGACAAAAAUGACUGCCAAUGGGACCAGCUGUUGGCUCCUUUUAAGUCUGACAAUGCAAACAACAAUUUGAUACUAAUGACAACUAGAAAACCAUCUGUUGCGAAAAGGAGAGGAACGGCUGAACCAAUUAAGUUAGGUGCGUUGGAAAAAGAUGAUUUCUGGUUAUUGUUUAAAGCACAUGCAUUUGGUGAUGAGAACUACGAAGAGCAAGAAAGUCUAAGUGGCAUAGGACAAAAAAUAGCACAAAAGUUAAAAGGAAACCCAUUAGCGGCACAAACUGCAGGAGCACUAUUAAGAGAGCAUCUCACCGUUGAACAUUGGACUAAUGGUCUGAAGAAUGAAGAUUGGAAAUCCCUGCACCUCAGUAGUGGCAUUAUGUCAUCUUUGAAGCUUUGCUAUGACGAGCUGCCCUUCCCUUUACAGCAGUGCUUCUCAUAUUGUUCUAUAUUCCCAUAUGGUUAUCAGUUUCCCGCCGAGGAGUUAGUCUGUAUGUGGAUUUCACACGGAUUUGUGAAGCUAGACGAUUCAAGUGCGAGUUUAAAGGAUACGGGAUGGUACUAUCUAACUGACUUGGUGAACCUGGGUUUCUUUGAGCAAGUCAUCUCUUCGGUCAGACAAACUUCCUAUUCCAUUGGUGGUCUCAUGCAUGAGUUUGCAAGGGUUGUUUCAAGAAGGGAGUGUGCAACAAUAGAUGGUAUAUAUUGCAAUGAAAUAUUGCCAACCGUACACCAUCUGUCAAUACUAACUGAUUCAGUAUAUUCCAUGGAUGAUCAGAUGAGCAACAUACCUUGUACCAAGAUGUUUGAAGAAAAAUUGAGAAGUUCGUUUACAUCAGUGACAAAAUUGAGGUCAUUGGUGUUAAUUGGGCAAUAUGACUCUUUCUUCUUCAAAGCCUUCCAAGAAGUAUUCCAAAAGGAACAUCAUUUGCGAGUGCUGCAUUUGUCUGCAACAUCUGCUGAUUUUCAUUCCUUCUUGUGUAGUAGGGUAAAUCAUGGACAUCUCCAGUAUUUGAAACUUCAGGACAGUCAUGUUGAGUUGGAAUCCUCGCCUCAGGUUUCGAGCAAGUUUUUCAAUCGAGUGUUAGAUGGUCGGCUUACCUCUUUACAAACAAUUCAUCUAGAGAACUGUGGAGAAUGCUGGAUAGUUCCAUCAUUGAAAAGGCCUCCGUCUCUUACAAGAUUAUUUUUGAGAAAUAUGCAGAAAGUAAGAGAAGUAUCGUUUCCGUCAUUGGAGGAGCUAGUUUUAGUUGAAAUGUCAGAGUUGGAGAGUUGUGUCUGCACUUCUCUGGGAGAUAUGAACUCUAGUUUAAGGGUAUUGGAUAUCCGAAAUUGCCACGCACUCAAGAUGUUUGAUUUGCUUGAGAAACACCAUAGCUUCAUAAUGAAGAAGGGUUCAUGGUUGCCCAAUCUUAGGAAAUUCAUUGUUUGCGAUUGUCCUCACUUGGAAGUAGUGAUCCCUCUUCGGCCUUCAGCCACAUUUUCUGAACUUUUAAUCAGCAGAGUUUCAACAUCUCUGACGAUGGACAAAUUUUACAUGGAAACAUUCGAAAUUAGGCCAAACAGUCUUUUGGGUGAGUCAUUUGGUGAGAUGAGACUGGAUGAAAAAAUCUUGGCAUUCCAUAAUCUGAGGGACCUCAAAUGCUUGGAAAUAAAUUCAUGCUGGAAUCUGACGUCUAUUUCACUAAUAAGUUUUCAUCAGCUCGUAUCUUUAGAGAGUUUGACAAUAGGGCACUGCACAAAACUCUUCUCUUCAGAUGUUGUGUCAGCGCACACCCAUGAAGACAUGAUAGCUGCAGAUUAUAUAGCCCUACCAUGUCUUGAUAGUCUCAGUAUUUUUUCAUGUGGAAUAACAGGGAAGUGGCUAUCUCUGAUGCUUCGACAUGCGCCGGCAGUGAAGAAAUUGAUGUUAAAUGGAUGUCCAAAGUUGACACAGUUACGGAUUGAAGAGGAAGAAAACGGCCAGUCGAAUCUCAACCCAGCCUCGGAGGCUUCAUCAUCAGGAUAUCAAAAUGGUUUGUCAGCAAGCUCAGAUCCAGACGGUUUGUGGUGCAUCCCGUCGAAUCUCACCACUUCUCUCAAAACUAUAAAUAUUGAAAGAUGCCCUCAUCUAAUAUUUGACGUCGCCAGAUUUACCUCCCUCGAGGAACUACAAAUACUCGGGGGAUGCCCCAAGAUGCUCUCGUCUUUGGUGCACGGAAGACUGCUCCUACCGCAAUCACUUGAACAAAUUUUAAUAUAUGAAGAAUGCAAAUCACUCACUGCAUUACAUGGCAUGGAAUCGCUCAGGACUCUCAGGGCUUUGGCACUAUAUUCGAACUCAAGUUUGGAGCUUCUACAGCUGAAACCCUUGACACUGCUAGAAGAUCUUGACAUUGUACACUGUACUUCACUCGUCCCACCAGAGGGCUUGCGAUCCCUCAUGAACCUCCGGCAUUUCGAAGUAGUCGGAUCCCUGACAGGGUUUGGAGAGAGUUAUGAUGGGAUCAUUUUCCCUAGACUGGAAAGUCUUACUAUCGAUAUUUUGUCUCGCCUUACCACGCCAUUCUGCAAGGGCCUCACCAGCCUCCAACGACUAGAGCUAUAUGAUUUGAAAGAAGCAAGAUUAACAGAUGAGCAAGAGAAGGCACUUCUGCUCCAUAGGUCCCUGCAGGAUCUCCAUUUUCUCAACUGUGAUGACCUUGUACAUCUUCCGGUGAGGCUGCACAGCCUUCCUUCCCUCAAGAGGAUAAAGAUCGGAUGGUGUCCACGCAUCUCAGAGCUACCCAAGGAGGGCCUCCCACCUUCGCUGGAGAAACUUGUUAUAGUAUAUUGUGAUGAUCUGGAAGAUCUUCCUGCGGGGCUGCACAGCCUUCCUUCCCUCAAGAAACUGAAGAUCGACUGUUGUAAGGGACUCUCACGGCUGCCCAAGGAGGGCCUCCCACCCUCGCUGGAACAGCUGGUGAUCGAAGACUGC